rnacentral:rRNA from 1 species
UAUUCUUGAAAAUUAAAGAUUUUGGCGGUAUUUUAGUCUUUUCAGAGGAUUCUGUUCCGUAAUUGAUAAUCCACGGUUAAAAAUUACUUGAAUUUGAGGUUUGUAUAUCGUCGUUAAAUGAAAAUUCUAUAAGGAUAAAAUUUUCUUGGUGUAUAUUUUACAGUAUAUCAGAUCAAGGUGCAGUUGAUGUUCAAGAGGAAAUGGAUUACAUUGAUUUUAUAAUUGGAUUUGUCGUUUGAAGGGUAUAAUGAAAUUGGAUUUGAUAGUAAUUAGAGGCUUAUACCUUUAAUGAUUUUGGCUCUAAAAUAUGUACAUAUCGCCCGUCGCUUUCAUUUAAAUUGAAAUAAGUCGUAACAAAGUAGGUGUACUGGAAAGUGUAUCUGGAAAGGCAAAUCAGAGCUUGUUUGAGUAUCUUAUUUACAUUAAGAAGGAAGUUGAUAACUAACUUGAUGAAUACAAAAAUUUUUUAAUUUGUAUUUUUAGAUUUAUAAUUGAAGUAUCAUAGGUUUAGUAUUAUUUAGAAAAAUUUUGUUUUAAUAUAGUUGAUUAGUAUAGUAAUAGAAAGUUUUUAAAUAUUUGUAAGUAUUUUUUAUUUAGAGUACCUUGUGUAUUAGGGUUUAUUAAUAAUUUCUGUAGAAUAAUGGUUUCUCGAACUUAAGAGGGCAAAAUUAAUAUUGAUUAUACUGUUGAAUAAGUAUAUUAAAUAUUUAUUUAGUAAUGAAAUGUUAUUCGUUCUUUAGUAUAUCUGGUUAUUCAAGAAAUAAUUUUAAAUUAGCAAUUUCUAUAAUAUUCUUAUAUGUUUAAAGUUUAUUUAUGAAUUUUGUUAAAUUAAAUGGGAUAAGCUGUUUAUUUAAUUGGUAAAAUUAUUUUUAUUAAGGUAUCUCCUUAGGAUUAGAAAUGUCUAUAUAUUUAAUUUUGUUAUAGUAAAUUUACUUAUUAAUUAAAUUUAUGUAUUUUUACAUAUUUUAUUGAAUGGAUUUAUUUAUUAGAAAAAUAGAUUUUAUAAUGAUUAAAUUAGUAUAAUGUUUAGUAUAUAUAAAUUUUUAUUUUAGAUUAUAAUAAGGAAUUCGGCAAAAAUUUUCUCGCCUGUUUAUUAAAAACAUGUCUUUAAGAAUAUAAUUUAAAGUCUGACCUGCCCACUGAGGUAUUGAAGGGCUGCGGUAUUUUGACCGUACAAAGGUAGCAUAAUCAUUAGUUUUUUUAUUGAAAGCUGGAAUGAAGGGUUGGACGAGGAAAAAUCUGUCUCUUUUUAAUUUGAUUAAAAUUUAAUUUUUAAGUUAAAAAGCUUAAAUAUGUUUGAAGGACGAGAAGACCCUAUAGAGUUUGACUUUAUAAAUUUAUUAUUAUUUUUAGGAUUAUUUUUAUAUUAAUAUUGUAUAAGUU